rnacentral:rRNA from 1 species
UACGUAGGGUGCAAGCGUUGUCCGGAAUUAUUGGGCGUAAAGAGCUCGUAGGCGGUUCGUCGCGUCGGCUGUGAAAACCCGGAGCUCAACUCCGGGCCUGCAGUCGAUACGGGCGGACUGGAGUUCGGCAGGGGAGACUGGAAUUCCUGGUGUAGCGGUGAAAUGCGCAGAUAUCAGGAGGAACACCGGUGGCGAAGGCGGGUCUCUGGGCCGAUACUGACGCUGAGGAGCGAAAGCGUGGGGAGCGAACAGG